AAAUGUGCCAGAAAUGUGAUCUUUGCUACAGUUUCUUUCAAGAAAAUGUGGAUAAUUAUAUAGUCAAUGAAAUGACUUUAUUCUUUUUCAAAUAUCUACCAAGACUCAGUGCCAAAAAAAGUGCAAUAAAUACGAAGAGUCAGCAUGUGAAGCGUUGGAAGUGCACAACUUACUGAAGAGGAGGAAAACAUCCCACAAAGGCAACUUCAUCCUCCGCAGAGCAGGGAGGACUUCGUUCUAAACACACAGACACACAACCUGUAUUUCAUGAAAGGGGGAGCUUCAGUGUGGUACCAGUGUCUAAAGCUGCUCUCAGCAAUGCGACAGUUCUCAACAAUAUGCUUCCAUGGCACUGUGUACUAAGCGGUAUGCAUCUGCAACUCGGGGCUGAAAGGAAGAGUACAUAAAGACUACAGCACUUUAAAAGGACAGGGUUGCAAAAUUAAAAGGAGGGAAACGAACAACAGCACACUUAGAUAUCUUUUUGUUUUCUCUUCUGACUUCUACAAGUGCACAGAAGAAACAAAAGUGCUUGGGAUGUAUCCAAGCACAGGCACUUUUGAGGUCUCCCUAGCACUUUUUUGGCUUAAUAUUGUUCUGCAAUGUAACGGGCAGAGAAAUGCUCUCCAUAUCGUGCACUCACUAAACUGCAGUGUGUGUGAACAGGCACGUAUUUGAGCAGCCAUGAAUGAAGCAGUAGCCACAGGCAGUUUGCUGGGUAAGAAUUUGUAAUUUCUUUUCCCCUUGGAAUAAUCUUUAGAGGAGAAGAAAAAGGCCUCGUAGAUUUAUAUUGUAGAAUGGUGCGUGUUCGUUCAAGCCUACCUUUGAAAAUUACAGCAGCACAAAAGUGGGUCAGUGUUAAAAGUGGGUCCACAAAACAUGAGAGGUUGACGACAGAAAUAAGAAGCUCUGUCAGCUGUCACGUGCAGCAAGAGAAAGAAAUCAUUCAAAGCUUUUAAGGUUGUUUGGAGGAAAGUAACAGGAAUGACGUAGUGCUUAAGGUCAGUUGGGAAAUAGGUAUUUGGUGAGACAACGGCACCAUCAGUUGCACAAUUUGAAUACUUCAGAUGCUGGGUCAAUCGACUACAUAACCAGGAGACAGAGCACCUAAAAGAUGAGGCUACAUGCCGUGGUGGCUCAAAUUACCCUCUCUGCAAUCUACAUUUGAGGAGUUCAUUAAUGCUUGGUAUUGCUCUGUUAAGAGAAGGUGUAGUGACCCAACUAGAAGUACUGAGAGGGACCCUGACCAAUUCAAUCUUCACAUAUGGGAAAGAAUAGAUGUUUCUAAAUAGCAAAAUUAUGAAAAUCACAGAGGGAAAGGCCAUCUAAUACUGCACUCUUUUUGGCUCCUCCAUUGAAGAUGUAACAGUAAAUGCAUUUUCCAGCAAACUGAGUCAAGACUAAGACUGAUUUCUCAAUGUGCUCGAAUUUUGCAUUUCUUCUUUUUUUUUUUUUGUUCCCUUGUAGUUCACAAAUCAAGCAAAUAAACUAGAUUUAACAGCCUGUC
ensembl:lncRNA